AGAGUACAGAGUACGAGCUCCGACUUGGUCUCUCCACAGGUGCUGUCCUGGAGCCGAGAGCUGCCUUGUGCUUGGCGCGCCCUGCACACCUCCCCGGUCUGCGCCAAGGUGAGCACCGCCGGGGCGGGGGCCUGGGGGCCGGGGGGCCGGGGGGCCGGGAAAGCCGUGCGGGCUGAAGGGGGCGUGUCGCUGGGGUCCGAGGCGGGGCUAGGGUCGGGGCUUAGGGAUCAGGGGAUUGGGGCCGGGGAACAGUGCCAGCUGACUGGGGGGACAUGGCGCGAGGUAGGGGUCUGGAUCGGGGAUCUCGUGGAGUCAUGGCCCCUUUUGCUCC
rnacentral:lncRNA from 1 species